AGUGAACGCUGGCGGCAGGCCUAACACAUGCAAGUCGAACGGCAGCACAGAGGAGCUUGCUCCUUGGGUGGCGAGUGGCGGACGGGUGAGUAAUGCAUCGGAAUCUGCCCUGACGUGGGGGAUAACGUAGGGAAACUUACGCUAAUACCGCAUACGUCCUACGGGAGAAAGCGGGGGACCUUCGGGCCUCGCGCGGCAGGAUGAGCCGAUGUUCGAUUAGCUAGUUGGCGGGGUAAAGGCCCACCAAGGCGACGAUCGAUAGCCGGUCUGAGAGGAUGAUCGGCCACACUGGGACUGAGACACGGCCCAGACUCCUACGGGAGGCAGCAGUGGGGAAUAUUGGACAAUGGGCGCAAGCCUGAUCCAGCCAUGCCGCGUGUGUGAAGAAGGCCUCGGUUGU
rnacentral:rRNA from 1 species